GGACCUGCAUGUAGCCGAAGACGCCAUAGACGAUCUCUAGCUGCGCUCCAGUGGGGCCUGCGACGUUAGUCAGGAAACCGAUGUGUUCGAGUGCCACAGGCCAAGGCCUGAACUAAUGCAACAGGAAAGCUCUUGCUGAGGGGGAAAGCAGCGAAGGAGAUUCCAGUAACUCCCAGGAACACAGCAAUAGGUGCAGCAGCAGCAGCUGCCUGCCCGGGAUUUGGAGCACUGUAUACAAACUACAAGAGAAACAGUGCAGAUGUCUUCGACACAUACAAUUAGUUCAACAGAAGAUUGAAAAGGUUUACUUUAAACCUCAAGCUGGGAAAUCAUUAUUGUGAGCGAUGGCAGCAAGUGCAACGCAAUCUAGUGCUCGAUGAUGGUAAAGAGGAUGGGGAAGGGGAGUAGACCUG